rnacentral:rRNA from 1 species
AGCGGCAGGCUUAAUACAUGCAAGUCGAACGGUAAGGUCUCUUCGGAGAUACACGAGUGGCGCACGGGUGAGUAACACGUACGCAACCUACCUUGUACUGGAGAAUAGCCCCGGGAAACUGGGAUUAAUACUCCAUAGUCUUCAAUGAUCGCAUGAGAGAUGAAGUAAAGCUCCGGCGGUACAAGAUGGGCGUGCGUCCCAUUAGAUAGUUGGUGAGGUAACGGCUCACCAAGUCAAUGAUGGGUAGCUGGCGUGAGAGCGCGACCAGCCACACUGGCACUGAGACACGGCCCAGACUCCUACGGGAGGCAGCAGUGGGGAAUAUUGGACAAUGGGGGCAACCCUGAUCCAGCAAUGCCGCGUGUGUGAAGAAGGCCUGCGGGUUGUAAAGCACUUUCAGUAGAGAAGAAAGCCGAGGUUAAUACCCUUCAGUCUUGACGUAACCUACAGAAGAAGCACCGGCUAACUCCGUG